UCGAUCUCAAAUCAAGUAAGACUACCCGCUGAACUUAAGCAUAUCAAUA
rnacentral:rRNA from 1 species